rnacentral:rRNA from 1 species
AGUGAACGCUGGCGGCAGGCCUAAUACAUGCAAGUCGAACGGCAGCACAGCAGAGCUUGCUCUGUGGGUGGCGAGUGGCGGACGGGUGAGGAAUACAUGGGAAUCUGCCCAGUCGUGGGGGAUAACGUAUGGAAACGUACGCUAAUACCGCAUGCGCCCUAAGGGGGAAAGCCGGGGACCGCAAGGCCUGGCGCGAUUGGAUGAGCCCAUGUUCGAUUAGCUAGUUGGCGGGGUAAAGGCCCACCAAGGCGACGAUCGAUAGCUGGUCUGAGAGGAUGAUCAGCCACACUGGAACUGAGACACGGUCCAGACUCCUACGGGAGGCAGCAGUAGGGAAUAUUGGACAAUGGGGGCGAACCCUCGAUCCAGCCAUGCCGCGUGAGUGAAG